ensembl:lncRNA
UGUCCUUUCAACCUGUGCGGACAAGUCGCUCUUCGAGAAAAAAGACUAGUCCGAAGGCUUCUUUAGAAUGGUGGCCUCAUCCAUGGCCCUGGCGAAUUAGCUUUUUUCAGUUGCUCAGUCACGUCCAACUCUCUGCAUCCCGGCUCCUGUGUCCAUGGAAUUUUCCUGGCAGGAAUCCUGGAGUGGCUUGCCAUUUCUUUCUCCAGGGGAUCUUUCCCAACUCAGGGAUGGAACCUGUGUCUCCUGCAUUGCUGGAGGAUUCUUUACCAUCUGAGUUGCAAGAGUCCUUCGGGAAAGUUUUCUCUGAGAACAAGCAGAGGUGGCAGCCCCAGAGGCAGCUGAAGGAAGCCCCAGGCUUGACAGAGUCUGCCCGCCCAGGGAAGGCUCACCGAGUUCUUUGAAGGUGUGCUGUCGGUUGCCUGAGCGUCUGAGAAGACACACCACUGUGAAUGAGCCUCUGGAUUUCCUCACACCCCAUAUUUCAGACAACGCAUCGAGGCAAUAUUUCCUCAAACCCUGGCACUCAGAAGAAGGCCUGGUGUGCUUGUGAGAAAGCAGUUGGCUGCCUAAGCAACAUGUCAAAGCAUGUGCGGUCCUACAGGACAAAAGUUGAGGACUGGACAGAAGUCAGUUGUCUGAGGCCCUUGGUGCAAGGUGGGAGAGCUCCAGUGGCCACCUGGAAAUGCAGGAGCCAAGACCUGGGCUGGAGGCCACGAUGGGGAGCAGGUUUGCAACUGCUGGAGGUCCUGGCCUGUGCCCCUCUAGGCUUCUCAUCAUCUUCUCCAUACCCAACAUGGGCUGCAGUAGUAUGCAGCAAGAGCUGCUCCAUGGCGUUUCUGAUGUGUAUCCUUACCCUACAGGGGAAGAUGGUGAGUGCACCGUGCGUGGCCACAGGAAAAAAAUGUAUGGCGAGUGAAUGUGCCGUGGGUGAGAUGUACCCUAAAUAUCUGCAUGGCGUUGAGCACUGAAAGCAGUCGCUCUACUGGCUCAUCACAGAGUCUGACCCCAGACUCCUAAGUACCCCCCAUUGGAAAACGACCAGCCCCUCUGUCUUACCAAGGACGUGAUUGAAACGGUCCUUCGAUUUGGGAAACCGCUUCCUCAAGGCAGCUGUAUUACCAGCCUCUCGGGAGGGGGAAGAGAGUCUGCUUUUCCUUUGUGUCAAGUCAAGAGCAGGAAACUUGGCUCAGCGGGGCCCUCACUGCAGACCCAGGGGUUUGCCUUUAGCCUUUGCAGACAGGAUGCUCUACAGAAGUGUUCAGUAGUCCAAAGACUGCUUUCUGGAAUGUUGGCCUCAUCGGUGGCAUGAGCAAUAGUCCUUCAUGAGUGUUUCCUCUGAGAACAAGCAAUAGGUGGCAACCCCGGAGGCAGCUGAAGGAGGCCCCGGGCUUGGCCAUGUCUGCCCACCCAGGCGAGGCUCACCGAGUGCUUUGAAGAAGUGCCGUCAGCUGGUUGGGGGUCUGAGAAGACACACCACUGUGAAAGACCCUCUGGAUUUCUUCACACCCCACACAAGAAGACUCAUUAAAAGGAGCAACAUGAAAUGGGGUGGAAGGAGGAAUCCAGGAGCAACUGGGUGCAAAUGUGCCAUCGUCCUGUUCACUGGCAUUCCAUUCACUGAACUGAACUCUGUCAACACUGACCUUUUUACUGUGUGUUGCCAACCAGUUCACUUGCAUAGAGAACAUUGAAGUAUCUCGUCACCAAAAAUAUAGUGGCGAUCAGAAUUAAACUACCUUCUGAAGCCUCCAGGCCAAGAGGUGGCAGAACUCAGAUUGGAACCUAGAAAAGCAGGACCCCAAAUCUGUGCUCUUAAGCACAAGGAGGAGGUUUCACACCAGAUGAAGGUGCCUACCCCGUGUCCUUCUUGGCAGGCUCCCAGAAUGACAGGACAAAGCGAUACUGGCUGCUCUGGAGGCUCUGAAACUUCAGUGGUGAACAGAGGAUCCUCUGGUGUCAAAAAGCACAGCAAGUGUUAUCCCACAUGCAGUCAUUGGGGCUCUCAAGUGUUAGCAUGCAAUAUAAUCACCGGGGACGUUGUUCAAACUUAGCUGCUGGACACCUCCUCUGUCCCCAGAGUUUCUGACUUAGUCCAUGUAGAGUGGCGUCUUGGAUUUUGUAUUUCUAACAAGUAGCAUAGGUGAUGUUGGUGCUGUGGUUUGGGGAACCACUGUUUAACAUCUAGGGCUACUAUUCGAAGAAAGGUUUUCUGAGAAUUAAGCCAACAUGGAUAAAUUGGGACCCUAGAUAUUCUUGAUGAUGUGGUCUGAGUGCCUACUGUCAAGAAUGCCAGAAUAGCAGGAAUCUCACCAUUUUUCUUUUAAUUUAAAUGAAAUAAAAUAAUUCAAUUUCAAUGAAAGCAUCCAAAGCAAAGUAUAAUAUUAAAUGAUAACUAGUUUAAAUGUGUAUAUUCAUUUAGCUUAAUUAAAUUCGUCAUUUAGUUAAUAAAUUGAUCUUGUAACCAAAAGAAUACCCCCAAAAUCUGUAAUUACAGGGUCCCUUAGGAACUGCUGUAAUUUUGUUUCGUGAAAAAAAAAUGUUGGAAAUACUGCAGACUACUGCAAGAAACAUGGAUUCUUCUUUGCUACUGACCUGUUCUAUAGACUUUCCAGUGCUUUCAGGGAAGUCACAGCAAUGUCACUUCAUUUUCCCACCAGUGAUGUGUGCAAACAUGCGUCAUUUUAGUGAAGAUAAUCCCAUCCCCAGUUCCAUUGUGGUUACAUAAACCAAACUGGUCAAAACAAGCAUAUGCUCUUAUUGGCUUUGUUGAUAUAUAACCUUGUUUUCUUUGGAAUCCUAACUCUAUAAUUACAGUCCCUAAAAUCUUCCUGCAAUACAGGAGCCUUGGGUUCAAUCCUUGUAUCAGGAAGAUCCCCUGGAGAAGGAAAUGGCAACAAACUCCAGUAUUCUUGUCUGGAUCCCUAGUUUGGGGAGAUCCCCUGGACAAAGAAAUGGAAACCCACCUCAGUAUUCUUGAAUGGGAAAUUCCAUUGAUGCAGGAGCCCGGUGGGCUACAGUCCAUGGGGCUGCAAAGAGUCAGACAUGACUUAGCAACUAAACUGCAGUAAAACCUUGUUUUCUUUGGAAUCCUAACUCUAUAAUUUACAGUCACUAUAUGACAAGUAAACCAGCUGUCUUGCUUUCUGCUGGCAGGUUGAUACCCUACUACUGCUCUCAUCAGUGAUACUUCUGCUGUUGUUUUUCUUAUGUGGCACAAUGAAACAAAUAUGGGAUCAAGGUACCCUGGCAUAAUGCCUUUGGACGAAGAUUUGGCCAGAUCUUUGUUUAGGACUCUAGGUGACUAGGGGAUGUAGGCAAGAUCCCUUCCAACAACCAGUCAGCAAUUCAUUUGUGUGUGUUGGUUAAAAAAUAUUUUAGGGGGACUUCCCUGGUGGUCCAGUGGCUUAGACUCCAUAUUCUCAGUGCAGUGGGCCCAGAUGUGAUCCCUGGUCAGGGAACUUAGAUCCUACAUGCCACAACCAAGAGUUCACAUGGGGCAACUAAAACAUGGCACAGCUAAGUAAAUAAAUGUAAAAAACAUAUAUAUAUUUAUUUGGACAUAUUCUGGACCCAUCAGAAACCUGGAACAAAUAAAAUAUUAUAUUUGAUAUACUGUUAUUUGUGUUUUCUAUUUUAUAUACAUAGCAUAAUUUUGACUGAUAAAAUCUUUAAUAUCAAUAAAACUAAUUUGAUUCACUUAUGCGGUUUUGUGACUAUACAAUCACAAACUACUAUUUACAUUAGCAAAUUCUGUUUUAUGUAAAACUGAAUGUUACCUGUGAUAAAAAUUAAGAUAUUGGAUUUAAUAAAAUUAAAAUAUUUCAAAGAUACCAUCAAGAAAGUGGGAAGAAAACUCACAGACUGGAAGAAAAUACUGGCCAUAAUCCACACUUUUAAUUUAUUUUUUCCAUUCAUAAAAGGUAUGUUAACCUGGGUUGUUAUGGACUGAAUUGUAUCUCCACAAAAUUCACAUGUUGAAGACCUCACCUUCAAGGUGACUAUAUUUGGAGACAGGGCUUUUAAGGAGAUAAUUAAGGUUAAAUGAGAUCAUAAAGGUGGGGCCAUGAUCUGAUAGGAUCAUUGUCCAUAAAAGAUGAUGACAAGAUGCCAAAGAUCUUUCUCUUUCCAUAUGUGCACCGAGGAAAUUUCAUGUGAAGAGAGUGAGAAGAAAGAAGUCUGCAAGCCAGGAAGAGAUGCUUGACCAGAGACCAAUCCUGCUGGCUCCUGGAUUUUGGACUUCCAGCCUCCAGAACUAUAAUAACCCCUGGGUGAGUGGGACUGUUGGUGUUCAGUUGCUCAAUCAUGUCUGACUCUCUGACCCCAUGGACUGCAGCACGCCAGGCUUCCCUGUCCUUCACUAUCUCCUGGAGUUUGCUCAAAAGCAUGUCCGUUGAGUCGGUGAUGCCAUCAAACCAUCUCAUCCUCCGAUGUCUGCUCCUCCUGCCCUCAAUCUUUCCCAUCAUCAGAGUCCUUUCCAAUGAGCCGGCUCUUCACGUCAGGUGACCAGAGUAUUGGAGCUUCAGCUUCAGCAUCAGUCCUUCCAGUGAAUAUUCAGGGUUGAUUUCUUCGAGGAUUGACUGGUAUGAUACCCUUGCUGUCCAAGGGACUCUCAAAAGUCAUUUUCUUGCACCACAGUUUGAAAGCAUCAGUUCUUUGGCUCAGCCUUUUUUAUGGUCCAACUCUUACAUCUACACAUGGCUACUGGAAAAACCAUAGCUUUGUCUAUAUAGACUGUUGUCAGCAAAGUGAUAUCUCUGCUUUUUAGUAUGCUGUCUAGGUUUGUCAUAGCUUUUCUUCCAAGGAGC